GGGCUUGUAAUGGUUUCGACGGGGAUCAGGAAGUCGAGGAAGCCAUCCGUAGCGGGACACUACGUUAAAAGUUCCAUCUAAAUAUAAACGCAGAUAAUAAAUUAGCGUACGCUGCCUAACAGGCAGUAGUCGGUCCAGAGUCAUCCGCUGCUUUGGGUACCGGCUUCAACGAGGCGGAGCACUUCGUUUCCAAAGCUUUGAGGAAAUGGAAGAUCUUAUGAAGCUACUGAAACCGGAAACCUGUCAUUAGGUGUCCGGCAGAGGGAACGUCAGAUUAAUGACUGUGAUGGGAGAUGCUUUGAUGAAAUGAUGUUCGGACGCGGGUUCGACUCCCGCCAGGUCCAU
rnacentral:tmRNA from 1 species